CAUGGUAAGUAUACCGGAAGGUGUGCUUGGAAA
rnacentral:rRNA from 3 species